UAUAUAUAUAUUAGAUUUAAGUUUCAGAUCCUCAGUGUCUCAAUUUGUUUUGUCAAAUUGUCACACAAGUCACAUUUUGCGCAGAUGCUCGAUUGCAAAAUUUUAACACAUUUCAGCUCUCCAUGAAAAGAGAUGAGCAAACUCUCGAGUUAUGCAAUCAAAGAGAACACAAUAGACCUCUCUAGUACGAUAUUAUGUAAAAAUCAAAUUACACACCAAAUUGAAUUCUGAUAGUCAACCAAGGUGGAAUAAAACAAGUUCCAAAACAUCCAAACAAGUUAAAGACUUCAGCUUUCAAUAUCCAUAAUCUCAGUUGGCUAAAGUUCAGUCAUCUUCUCUCUCGGGAGGAAGACCACAGGGCAAAAGCAUUUUCUGCAAGUGCAUCGAAAUGUCAGCGAGACACACAAACAUCAGUAUUUUUUACAAUCAUUAGUUAAUAUGGAGCUCCUAAACGUCCCCUACAUGUACAUCACCACCUACAGAUUGGUUUACAAACGCAUAAAGUGGUAAAGAUAUGAUUGCAUCAAAAUCUCUUCAACCCAAAAAAUAAAAUAAAAUAAAAAAUAAAAAACUAAACUUCCACAUCUUUUUUGACACCUCAUCAAUCUACAAGUCUUCCUGUAAAUCUUUAUGUACAAGUAGCAUCAUUCAAAAAAUAUAUAUCUCACAAGGUUUUGAGAAAUUGUAUAAGCUGCUGCAAAAUUUUUGUUUUAUACACGUUCUUAAAUUUUAAAGUGAAAAAUACUGCAUGUCAAGCAAUUUAUAACCAUUAAAGCUGGGUCCUCUCCAAUAUAGGUUACUUAUUAAAAAUUGCAUCACAUGAAAAAUUACGAGUUUUAUCUUCACAUGGUCACUAGUUAUAUUGCAAUCAAUGUCAAAAGUCCAUGUUUGGAGCAGCAUGUCAGGUGUUUGACAAUAAUAUUUUAUCUAAUUGACUUUUGACAAUUACUUAACAAAAGCUUCCAAAAUUACCAGCUUCACAAUCAAUGUUAUGUUCAAUCCAGAUGCCUAAACACUGACUGACUUUAGGAAACAAUAUAAACAGGAAGAAGGCAAAGUUGUUACAUUUGAUGAAU
rnacentral:lncRNA from 1 species